rnacentral:rRNA from 1 species
UGGGGAAUUUUGGACAAUGGGGGCAACCCUGAUCCAGCAAUGCCGCGUGUGUGAAGAAGGCCUUCGGGUUGUAAAGCACUUUUGUCCGGAAAGAAAACGUCGUGGUUAAUACCCGUGGCGGCUGACGGUACCGGAAGAAUAAGCACCGGCUAACUACGUGCCAGCAGCCGCGGUAAUACGUAGGGUGCAAGCGUUAAUCGGAAUUACUGGGCGUAAAGCGUGCGCAGGCGGUCCGCUAAGACAGAUGUGAAAUCCCCGGGCUUAACCUGGGAACUGCAUUUGUGACUGGCGGGCUAGAGUAUGGCAGAGGGGGGUAGAAUUCCACGUGUAGCAGUGAAAUGCGUGGAGAUGUGGAGGAAUACCGAUGGCGAAGGCAGCCCCUGGGCCAAUACUGACGCUCAUGCACGAAAGCGUGGGGGAGCAAACAGGAUUCAGAUACCCUGGUAGUCCACGCCCUAAACGAUGUCAACUAGUUGUCGGGUCUUCAUUGACUUGGUAACGUAGCUAACGCGUGAAGUUGACCGCCUGGGGAGUACGGUCGCAAGAUUAAAAACUCAAAGGAAUUGACGGGGUC